rnacentral:lncRNA from 1 species
AUUUAUAAAGACUGUUUGUUUUUUUUUUCUUUCCCUGCCUUAGGAAGAAGAUCAGUUUUUAACAGGUUACUAGUCAGCCUAGUAAUGUUUAAGAGAAAACAGACUCAUUACGCUGACCAAAAGGUGAAAAAACAGUGAGUGACUUUGUUUAGGCUUGUUGAAGAUCACAAAAGUUGGUGGAUUACAGUUACUACAAAGCCAGAGGGAAAAAUUGCACAAUGUUUUCUGUCAUCCAUCCUCCUUCUCAUAGAGAAGAUAAAAGACCAGUACCAUGACAGACCACUUUCCAAGGAUGGAGAGGAAAGGAAAAUCAUAGGAAAGACCUUUCUGAUUAGCUUAUCUCAUUAAGACCUGGAAUAAGUAUGAUGCAUGUUUUACAAUGCUCUAACUGAAUUAUGUUCAUAGUUGGGGUAUUUACACGUGCUAUUUAGGCUCUGUAGGACUUGGUCAUGUGUAAAUCUCUACAGCAACUUUUACCAACAUCACAGCUCUUCUAUGGGAUCUCCUCUCUCAGCUUUCACA